rnacentral:rRNA from 1 species
AGGAUGAACGCUGGCGGCGUGCCUAAUACAUGCAAGUCGAGCGGUAAGGCCUCUUCGGAGGUACACGAGCGGCGGACGGCUGAGUAACACGUAGGAACGUACCCAAACUGAGGGAUAAGCACCAGAAAUGGUGUCUAAUACCGCAUGUGCUCUAAGGAGUAAAGCUUCGGCGGUUUGGGAACGGCCUGCGCAUGAUUAGCUUGUUGGUGAGGUAAAAGCUCACCAAGGCGACGAUCAUUAGCUGGUCUGAGAGGAUGAUCAGCCAGACUGGGACUGAGACACGGCCCAGACUCCUACGGGAGGCAGCAGUAGGGAAUUUCCACAAUGGGACGAAAGCCUGAUGGAGCAACGCCGCGUGCAGGAUGAAACCCGUUCGGGGACGUAAACUGACUUUUUAUAAGUGAAGAAUAUGACGUAACUUAUGAAUAAGGAUCGGACUAACUCGUGCCAGCAGCCGC